AAAGUCGUAACAAGGUAACCGUAGGUGAACCUGCGGUUGGAUCAUUACCAAAGAAAAAAGAAAGAUGGGGAUGGCAUCACUGCUAUCUUCACUCUUUUCUUUUUAAACAUUGUGUGAACUGGUUUUCGUUUUUUGGCGGUUUGGCGAAACUGUAACAAGCCGCUGUAUGUGGGCCGCCAAAAUAUAUAUUAAACAAACAUUUUGAUUUUAUAAUCUGAUCUUUUUUGUUUUUAUUUUUUUUUUCCCCCAUCGGGUGUGAAAAGAAAAAUGAAUAACUAAAUCAAUUACAAAACAACUUUUGACAACGGAUCUCUUGGCUCUC
rnacentral:misc_RNA from 1 species